CGCCCACAGAACCGCACAUGGUACCGACCACAGAACCGCACAUGGUACCGACCACAGAACCGCACAUGGUACCGACCACAGAACUGCGUACGGUACCGACCACAGAACCAAAGUCGGCCAGGUUUCUGUGGCGACACAUCCUCAGUGCUCUGGUCCUCUUGGUUGCUAUUGGAAUACUCAUAGAAUACUUCAUCUCCCACACACCAACCACAGAUGCUGCAGGAAGAGGAGAGUGAGUGAGAAGACUGGACAGUUUGUGGAGACAUUGUGCUGAGACAUGAGAGAUUAACCCGUUUAC